ACGAUAAAAGCAGUUGACAGAGACCUAUAAAUAUAGGUUCAGAAACCUGAACAUUUAGAUCUUAAAAGGAAAAGAUGCAAAGGCCGAAAGAAGAAUUGAAUUGGGGGACGGAAGGAAGGGUUUGGUAUUCUAGAGCAAGAGAAAAAACAGGAAAAGAUUUGCCUGCCAUUUGAAGAUGCUGGUACAGGCAUAACUUGUUUUAUUGCCCUUCACUUUAUUGUGCUUAAGAGCUAUCAUGUUUUUCACAAAUUGAAGGUUUGUGGCAACCCUGUAUCAAGAACGUCUGUGGGUACCAUUUUUCCAACAGCAUUUGCUUACUCAUGUCUCUGGAUCAUGCUGUGAAAAUGAAACCUCCUUAAAAAGUGUGAAGAUGGAGGGAUCUUAUAAAGCAAAGAGUGCUAUCAAACAGUGAGACUGAUCUCUGGAUGAUAAGGUGUAUGGUCAGGACACUCAAGGCGGCUGUUCUCUGGACAUCCCCUGCGCGACUAGACUAGUGUCUGCUUCACCUACACCCUACUCACCUGACUGACGUUCUUACAUACUUGCCCCAGGCUCCAGUUAAUGACUGUCCUAGCUUUAGAUCAGAACAUCUCCACUCCGAUAGCUUACCAAAGGGGCAGUGAGAAGCAGGCUGUCCCUCUGCUGGUUUCCCUGGUAACCAAUGAGCCGACCUGAUGUUAAUUCCCCCUAUAACUGGUGGCCCUGCCCCCGACCCCAGCAAAGCCUGCCACCAUGUUCUGCCCGCCACCUGCCACAGAUGGUGAGGUCCUGCUCCAGGACCUUGCUUCGGACAUGUAAGCUUCCUCAUCCAUUAAACCACUGCUGUCUC